CUGAUGUGAGUUCUCUCUAACAUUUGAUCGGACCUUAUUCCUGGACAAAGUCGGACUUGACUUUCUUGAGGACUCGACUCAGUCUCUCGAAGUCAACUUUCUUGAGGACUCAGCUCAGCCUUCUUGAAGAUUCAGCUUCCUUAAGGACUCGAUUUUCUUAAGGACUCAAAGUCCGGUCAAGCCGAGUGAACUCGGGCUCUGAUCGACCAAAAGUAUGGUCAACUUAGAUUGUUCAAUUGAGUCAUACAACUAUGUGCUUCCGAAUUGAACUAAAAUGAUUCGGCUCGAGAUUUUCUCAAGCUAAGGGAAUUCAGACUUCGGUCCCAUCGGCUAAACUAUUUGACAGAGCCAUGUGACCAUGCUUCUCGGUUGAGACUUCCUUGACGGCCACAUCAGCCAGCCCGCUUUCUCGACCUCGAUCUCUAUCUUAUUCGGGACAUGGCAGAGCAGCGAUCCACUUCGCCGUGUGCAUUGCGAUACGAACACCCCGACAACGUUGAUGGCUUCAAUCGCGGACUCGCCAAGUGUAAUUCCUCCGCUGGCAGCCGUCUCUUGCUGCGUGAACGGAACGAGGAUCAGAGAUGCGGAUGAACAUCGGGCGAAGAGGCGAUUGGAAUGGAAAGAAAGUGCAAGUAGAGGUGGAGGGACAGAUCUGGACGCAUGGCUGACAGAAGAGAGGGAGCACAGGAUGAAAACAGUAAAAAAGAUGAGAGAUACUGUUGUUCCCUGCCUACUCACUUAUUUUCCUGUCAGCCGCCUCUUCUCCUUCUUUCGCCCACUGUUAUUCUGGUUCUUACCCCCUUUAAAUUGCCUCGGCAGUGUCCUUAAAAAAAGAUCGGCCGCAUGAAAGACGGAGAUGAAAGACGGAGCUGACAGAAGAGAGUGAGCACAGGGUGGAAACACUAGAAAAAAGAUGAGCUACUGUUGUUUCCACUGCGUGCUCACUUGUCUUCCUGUCAGCCAGCCUCCUCUUCUCCUUCUUCUCCAGUCCACUGUUUCUCUGUUUCUUACACCUUCAAAUUGCCUCGGUAGUAGAGAACAGCUGCGUUGGCACCCAACAGCUGAAGAACAAGAAAAACAGAAAAAGAUUUUUCGCUUGUCUUCCACUGUUAGUAUGGAUAAUUUCCACCGAUGCGCAGGCGGAGUCUGAUUUCUUGUAAUUAAUUACUCUGGAACCUUGCGCAACUUUUGAGGAGUAGAGUGUACCGAUUAGGAUAAGGGCUACAGUGAGGUACAGUAGUGCAUCUCCUCUCUUAAAUUAAUCUAAUAGUGUUUGUGCGGAUCGUCCUUGUCUUUAUCUCCCUCUUCUCUUCCCCGUUUUCGGCCCUUCUUCCUCGAGACACCUUCGAAAAAGCUGGGAUGACGGAGUUCUAUUUCCUUGUUGAAAGAAAGCUACGGGUUAAACUCCAGUUGCUAGCUUUUUGUUGUUUGCCUUGCCCUGCCUUUGACAUGGUUGAGGAUGUCCAGAGAGUUCCAGUCGUUAGUCCUCUGCAGGUCGAGAGGAUAUGUUGUUUCGGACUUUUGGUUCUUAUUUUCUUAUUGCACUAUCUGGACUUGUAUUAGUUUACUUUAUGGAGGUUGUCGAUGGGUUUUAUUUGGAUUUGUUUUACUACAUGCCUGUCUGGACGGCAAAAGA